rnacentral:tRNA from 1 species
AGGGAGACCUAAUUCGGGUAUGGGAUGAAAAAAAAGUAGUCCCUACCAAGAAUCAAUCCCAAAAGGUCGGAGCGAGGCAUAAGGCUUUCAAACUAGGUUCUGGGUUCACACAAGACCUGAAUCAGGAACAAGGGCUAUUAGCUCAGGUGGUUAGAGCGCACCCCUGAUAAGGGUGAGGUCCCUGGUUCGAGUCCAGGAUGGCCCACCUGCACAGGUGGCAAAAACAAGAGAAGCGAGGAAUCAGCACCUUAUCUUAUCUAUAUAUAAAUACAAGUAAGAGAGAAUGCUGGCUCUGAGUAAAGAGUCCAGAGGAACCUUGAAAACUGCAUAGAGCUAGGUGAAAAAGCCAAAAAAGAAGACCGCAA